rnacentral:rRNA from 1 species
GAGUUUGAUCCUGGCUCAGGACGAACGCUGGCGGCGUGCUUAACACAUGCAAGUCGAGGGACUGUCGCAAGACGGGACCGGCGAACGGGUGCGUAACACGUGAGCAACCUGCCAUCCGGCGGGGGAUAGCCGGCCUAACGGCCGGGUAAUACCGCGUACGACCUCGAGCUCGCAUGGGCUUGAGGAGAAACCUCCCGCGCCGGUGGAGGGGCUCGCGUCCUAUCAGCUUGUUGGUGAGGUAACGGCUCACCAAGGCGACGACGGGUAGCUGGUCUGAGAGGAUGAUCAGCCACAUUGGGACUGAGAUACGGCCCAGACUCCUACGGGAGGCAGCAGUGGGGAAUAUUGCGCAAUGGCCGCAAGGCUGACGCAGCGACGCCGCGUGUGGGAUGAAGCUCCUCGGGUUGUAAACCACUGUUGCUCGGGAAGAACAGACGAGGAUUUCCCGGGCUUGACGGUACCCCCAAAGGAAGCGCCGGCUAACUCCGUGCCAGCAGCCGCGGUAAUACGGAGGGCGCAAGCGUUGUUCGGAAUUACUGGGCGUAAAGCGCGCGUAGGCGGUGUGGCGCGCGUGCGGUGAAAGCUCGGGGCUUAACCCCGAGUCUGCCGUGCGGACGGCCAAGCUAGGGCACUGUAGAGGCAAGUGGAAUUCCUGGUGUAGCGGUGGAAUGUGUAGAGAUCAGGAAGAACACUCGUGGCGAAGGCGGCUUGCUGGCUCGUUUCUGACGCUAAGGCGCGAAAGCUGGGGGAGCAAACAGGAUUAGAUGCCCUGGUAGUCCCAGCCGUAAACGGUGGACACUAGGUGUAGGAGGUACCGACCCCUCCUGUGCCGCAGCUAACGCAUUAAGUGUCCCGCCUGGGGAGUACGGCCGCAAGGUUGAAACUCAAAGGAAUUGACGGGGGCCCGCACAAGCGGUGGAGCAUGUGGUUUAAUUCGACGCAACGCGAAGAACCUUACCGGGGCUUGACAUGCACUGGACAGGUGUGGAAACACACUCUUCCUUCGGGACUGGUGCACAGGUGCUGCAUGGCUGUCGUCAGCUCGUGUCGUGAGAUGUUGGGUUAAGUCCCGCAACGAGCGCAACCCUUGUUCUUAGUUGCUAGCAGGUAAAGCUGAGCUCUCUAAGGAGACUGCCGGUGGUAAACCGGAGGAAGGUGGGGAUGACGUCAAGUCCUCAUGGCCCUUAUGCCCCGGGCUACACACGUGCUACAAUGGCCGGCACAAAGGGUUGCAAUACCGCGAGGUGGAGCUAAUCCCAAAAAACCGGUCUCAGUUCAGAUUGCAGUCUGCAACUCGACUGCAUGAAGGCGGAAUCGCUAGUAAUCGCUAAUCAGCAGGUAGCGGUGAAUACGUUCCCGGCCUUGUACACAC